AUACGGAGGGUGCAAGCGUUACUCGGAAUCACUGGGCGUAAAGCGCGCGCAGGCGGCCAUUUAAGUUGGAUGUGAAAGCCUACGGCUCAACCGUAGAACUGCAUCCAAAACUAUUUAGCUAGAGUGUGGGAGAGGAAGAUGGAAUUAGUUGUGUAGGGGUAAAAUCCGUAGAGAUAACUAGGAAUACCAAAAGCGAAGGCAAUCUUCUGGAACACUACUGACGCUGAGGCGCGAAAGCGUGGGGAGCAAACGGGAGUAGAAACCCGAGUAGUCC
rnacentral:rRNA from 1 species